GACCCACUGGACUUCUUCGGGGAUUCAUCCAGGCUGAUCACCUCCACACCGCCACCACCACUGCGCCGCGUCGGCCGAGACCCAACCUUGGUGAUGGUGAUCUCUUUGCUCAUGGUGGGCUGCAAUGCAUGGACAGGCAAGCAAUGAGCACCAAGCCCUUCAGUCCCCGGCACCAGACACCCACAA